UCUCAGAUAGCCCAGCGGCCCCCAGUCCUC
rnacentral:piRNA from 1 species